rnacentral:misc_RNA from 1 species
AACAGACAGAUAGAUCAUAUCAUGGACGUAUGCACCACCUACCAUUGCUUUAUUGUUGUUGUGGCUGUACAAAUAUGAGUAGCCCAAUAUUUGAUCAAGUUUUACCAAAUUCAAUUGAGUUUAUUUUUAAAGUUAUUUUCUAAAUAGUGUGGUUUGCAAUCAGAUAGAUGACAGUGUUAAGCUCAAGACGCUGCACUUAUUUACACUAGCUGGAGGUUCUUUGGAU